rfam:Pristionchus pacificus strain PS312 contig8650, whole genome shotgun sequence.
UCUUCAUUUCACUUGCUCUCUCACCGGUCAGAGAGGCGAGAGAGUGUGUGAAAUGAAGAGA